rnacentral:rRNA from 1 species
UCCAGACUCCUACGGGAGGCAGCAGUGAGGAAUAUUGGUCAAUGGGCGCGAGCCUGAACCAGCCAAGUCGCGUGAGGGAUGACGGCCCUACGGGUUGUAAACCUCUUUUGCCGGGGAGCAACGGGCGCCACGUGUGGCGCCACUGAGAGUACCCGGAGAAAAAGCAUCGGCUAACUCCGUGCCAGCAGCCGCGGUAAUACGGAGGAUGCGAGCGUUAUCCGGAUUUAUUGGGUUUAAAGGGUGCGUAGGCGGUCCGUUAAGUCAGCGGUAAAAUUGCGGGGCUCAACCCCGUCGAGCCGUUGAAACUGGCAGACUUGAGUUGGCGAGAAGUACGCGGAAUGCGCGGUGUAGCGGUGAAAUGCAUAGAUAUCGCGCAGAACUCCGAUUGCGAAGGCAGCGUACCGGCGCCAGACUGACGCUGAGGCACGAAAGCGUGGGGAUCGAACAGGAUUAGAUACCCUAGUA